AUUGGAAUACCUCAUAAAUAAGCAAACAGACAUGGAAAACAAAAUGUCGAAGAUACAAUAAUAGUUCAGCCAACUCCAAAGAAUAACUCCCAUGCGUUAUGCUAAUUCACUAAUGAGAUUAGUUCCAAAAUGCUACCAGUACAGCUGCUCCGAAUUACUUACUUAAUUCUUACUUCAUACUAAACCCCAAAUCUGAAGUACAGUAUGGCAGUUUGUCACAACUUCACCUCGGAGAGCUUUUGACACCAGCUCUCAUAGUUGGAUGGCUAGCUGUCACCCUCCGAACCAUGAGGUUUCAGGAAAUUUGACUGAAAAAGGGUAAGAAAAAAGGAAAAAUAACAAAGAGCCCGUGAGCAGCAGAGGAGAGACUCGGGGUUGCGAUGGCACCUGCCCGAAGAGCUGAAUGUUGUGGGUUUCUGUGGACCUGCAGGAUGUCAGGCUGGGGCUGGGCAUGGAACAGCCAGAGAGGAGCCCAGGCAGUAAUGUGCACUGUGAGAUGUGUUAAUGAGCCAGUAGAUGGGCCUGUAUAGGGCUGGAUGGGGCUCCUGCACAGGGAGGCCUGGGGAUUUGACUACGGUGUGAGCCGUAGUCCCUAGCAGUACGGGGAUAAAGAGAGGAGCCUCCUCCAUUUCAUACAGCAUCCAUUCAGGCCAAGCCUGCCUUCAUUCACAGUACAGAUUAUACAGGACUGCUCUUCAUAUGCAGAUGAGUGUGUUUUAAUUGUUGGGGCUCCUAAUUCCUAAUGUAUGAGAGGAAAGAGGAAAAGCAUCCGGGGAUGUGUAUCCAAAUGAAAUAUUCAAGACUCCUAAUGAAAUAUUCUGUCAGUUUGUAGUUUCCAUGGGCCUCUCUCUGCUUUAAAAAGAGAGACAAGUUGUUUUAAUGAGACUCUAGGCUGCCUCCGUCUGGCCCUGUACUGUACUAGCCUCAUACCAGCCUCCUAUUGUAGCUACACUCCCUGUUUGGUUGUUGUUUGUUUCAAAUACAGGUGUGCCAAGCUUGUAGCGUCAUACCCUAGAAGACUCGAUGCUGUAAUCACUGCCAAAGGUGCUUCAACAAGAUCCUCUCAAGCUCUGUCAGGUUGGAUGGGGAGCGUUGCAGCACAGCUAUUUUCAGGUCUCUCCAGAGAUGUUCACUCGGGUUCAUGUCCGGGCUCUGGCUGGGACACUCAAGGACAUUGAGACUUGUCCCAAAGAAGAAGAAAGGUGUUGUGGUCAAUGGAACUGCCAACUAGCCCAGAGGCAGUGCUGCAGAAAACCUUUGCUGUAAGGAAUUUCCAAAGGUUACCAGAAGGGGCAACAAGUUCCCUGAAGGCCCCAACUACUUGAUUAAUAUUUGUUGAGAAAUAAAAUGCCUCAAGUCAUUUUCUCUGUAAAAUGGCCUCAGGGAGAUGGUCAUAGGACUUUUGGAUAUCAAACAGAAGAAAUAAAAUAAGCUUUGACUUCAAUUCAUUUGUGACUACUUGGCUAAAUAAAAUGAACCUAUCAUCC